AGGUGAACCUGCGGAAGGAUCAUUAUC
rnacentral:rRNA from 2 species